AUUGAACGCUGGCGGCAUGCUUUACACAUGCAAGUCGAACGGCAGCACGGGUGCUUGCACCUGGUGGCGAGUGGCGAACGGGUGAGUAAUGCAUCGGAACGUGCCCAUGAGUGGGGGAUAGCCCGGCGAAAGCCGGAUUAAUACCGCAUACGCCCUUAGGGGGAAAGCGGGGGAGUCUUCGGACCUCGCGCUAUUGGAGCGGCCGAUGUCGGAUUAGCUAGUAGGUGAGGUAAAGGCUCACCUAGGCGACGAUCCGUAGCUGGUCUGAGAGGAUGAUCAGCCACACUGGGACUGAGACACGGCCCAGACUCCUACGGGAGGCAGCAGUGGGGAAUUUUGGACAAUGGGCGCAAGCCUGAUCCAGCCAUGCCGCGUGAGUGAAGAAGGCCUCGGUUGUAAGACUCUUUCAGUCCGGGAACGAAAACGGACAUGGGUUAAGUAACCCUUCGUGUGGAGU
rnacentral:rRNA from 1 species